AUGGGUGCCAACCAUUCCAGUCGCCUCCAAUUAGAGUUUUCUUCUUUUUUUGGCGGACAAGCGAUGUCUUGCAUGCGAAGAUCUGCAUUUGGUGGGCAAUAUACCGAUGCGGUUUCAGUUUCGCCAAUUGAUGUAGGAAGGCUAAUGGCAGACAACUGAAGUGUGGCGUUGGAGAAUUGAAUCGAUAGUGUAUGUGCUAGAGUUGAAUGGAUAAGCAGCGAAGGUCCUCCAAAAUUGUCUGUUCCACCACCAUGAGUAAGAUAUUUUUCAAAUCCUAACAUUUGUAGCGUGGGGCAGUCAUGUGUUUCUGCAAUUGGAAUAAUAUCACUGUUCUUUUGGGAUAGGAAGGCGUCUAAUUCAUGAGAUUUUUUUGCUCAGGCCAUUAGCCUUCCAUAUGCCCAUGCGUAGCGCCAUUAUUUGGAGCUGAGUUUUGCGAUGAGAGCCAUAAGGCUGGUCAUGACGUUUGCUUGCUGGGCUUGCAGCUCUCACAUU